CAUGGUGUACUCCAUCUAGGCUAAAUAUGACCACGAGACCGAUUAGCGAACAAGUACCGUGAGGGAAAGUUGAAAAGAACUUUUGAAGAGAGAGUUCAAGAGUACGUGAAACCGUUCAGGGGUAAACCUGAGAAACCCAAAAGAUCGAAUGGGGAGAUUCAUCGUCAGCGGCGUUGGCUUCCGUGCGGCUCGCGAUGGCCGGGACCUCGGUCUCGUGUCACGCGGUCGCUGCGGUAUGUCCGGCGUCGUCGGCGUGCACUUCUCCCCUAGUAGGACGUCGCGACCCGUUGGGUGUCGGACCGAUGGUCGCUUGGUCGACUGUCCCGUCUCGUUCACGCGUGCACGGGGCAGACCAACGUGGCCGAUAGUCCGGCUGCCCGGCGGUAUAGAACGCUUUUGAACGGUAUCGAGCCGCAUUAAGUGCGUUCAGGCUCGUCGGCAGGCUCGUCUCGCUCGGAUUUACGGACCUGGUGCCGUUGCCGGGUGCUUGGCGGGCCGUUAGUCGACGAUGUCCUCGGACUGGCUCUUGAUUUUCGACUACCGGUCGGCGACGCUACUGCUUUGGGUACUUUCAGCCCCGCGUUUUA
rnacentral:rRNA from 1 species